GAUGAACGCUGGCGGCGUGCCUAAUACAUGCAAGUCGAGCGAACGGACGAGAAGCUUGCUUCUCUGAUGUUAGCGGCGGACGGGUGAGUAACACGUGGAUAACCUACCUAUAAGACUGGGAUAACUUCGGGAAACCGGAGCUAAUACCGGAUGAUAUUUUGAACCGCAUGGUUCAAAAGUGAAAGACGGUCUUGCUGUCACUUAUAGAUGGAUCCGCGCUGCAUUAGCUAGUUGGUAAGGUAACGGCUCACCAAGGCAACGAUGCAUAGCCGACCUGAGAGGGGGAUCGGCCACACUGGAACUGAGACACGGUCCAGACUCCUACGGGAGGCAGCAGUAGGGAAUCUUCCGCAAUGGGCGAAAGCCUGACGGAGCAACGCCGCGUGAGUGAUGAAGGUCUUCGGAUCGUAAAACUCUGUUAUUAGGGAAGAACAUAUGUGUAAGUAACUGUGCACAUCUUGACGGUACCUAAUCAGAAAGCCACGGCUAACUACGUG
rnacentral:rRNA from 1 species